rnacentral:rRNA from 1 species
CAAGUCGAACGCGAAAGUGGAGCAAUCCAUGAGUAGAGUGGCGAACGGGUGAGUAACACGUGGGUGACCUACCUUCGAAUGGGGGAUAACGUCCCGAAAGGGACGCUAAUACCGCAUAACAUCCUGCUUUUGAACAGGUGGAGAUCAAAGCCGGGGAUCGCAAGACCUGGCGUUUGAAGAGGGGCCCGCGUCUGAUUAGCUAGUUGGUGAGGUAACGGCCCACCAAGGCAACGAUCAGUAUCCGGCCUGAGAGGGCGGACGGACACACUGGGACUGAGACACGGCCCAGACUCCUACGGGAGGCAGCAGUGGGGAAUUGUUCGCAAUGGGCGCAAGCCUGACGACGCAACGCCGCGUGGAGGAUGAAGGUCUUCGGAUUGUAAACUCCUGUUGCCCGGGACGAAACGUUUCGACCUAACACGUCGAGACCUGACGGUACCGGGUGAGGAAGCCCCGGCUAACUCUGUGCCAGCAGCCGCGGUAAUACAGAGGGGGCGAGCGUUGUUCGGAAUUACUGGGCGUAAAGGGCGCGUAGGCGGCCUUCUAAGUCGAACGUGAAAUCCCCGGGCUCAACUCGGGAACUGCGUCCGAUACUGGAAGGCUUGAAUCCGGGAGAGGGAUGCGGAAUUCCAGGUGUAGCGGUGAAAUGCGUAGAUAUCUGGAGGAACACCGGUGGCGAAGGCGGCAUCCUGGACCGGUAUUGACGCUGAGGCGCGAAAGCCAGGGGAGCAAACGGGAUUAGAUACCCCGGUAGUCCUGGCCCUAAACGAUGAAUGCUUGGUGUGGUGGGUAUCGAUCCCUGCCGUGCCGAAGCU